UAGUUCGUGGAUUGAUUUGUCUGGUUGAUUCCGAUAACGAGCGAGAUCUUGGCCUGCUAACUAGGCCACCAAAGCUCUUUUGGGUGUGCCUUCUUAGAGGGACGUUGUGUAUUGAACGCAAGGAAGUUCGAGGCAAUAACAGGU
rnacentral:rRNA from 1 species